AUGUGUAUAAGAGACAGGUGAAUCAUCGAAUCUUUGAACGCACAUUGCGCCCUUCGGUAUUCCGUUGGGCAUGCCUGUUCGAGCGUCAUUUAACCCUUCAAGCUGUGCUUGGUGUUGGGUGUUUGUUCCGCCUCUGCGUGCGAACUCGUCUCAAAUUUAUUGGCAGUCGGUAGAUUUGGCUUCGUGUGCAGUACAUUGCAUAGCGGCUCCAGCCUACUCCUUCCCAGUAAGCUCAUCCAUUGUUUGACCUCGGAUCAGGUAGGGAUACCCGCUGAACUUAAGCAUAUCAAUAAGCGGAGG
rnacentral:misc_RNA from 1 species